CCUAAUACAAGAUUGAUGAUUAUGGGGCUUAUAUAUAGCUGUUGCACGAUUGAACUCCCUCUCACACCUCUCGGUAGAGAGAGUGAUUUUGCCCAAUUAGCUCUCUCGAGACUUAUUGGUAGACUAAUUUUCCCAAGCAACUUAGGGUUCAAGUGGGGGUGAUUACUCUCUCGAGGUUUAACCCGUUAAUUGAGACUACCAUUCUCAUGGGUCCAUCCCAAUUCCUUGUUGGGUCAAUUUUGAGGUCAUAGACUGUAUUUCUCAAGAAGAGUCAAGACUCACUAAGCUAGACUUAGUGUUUGCAACCACAGAAUCCUAAUGAGAUCAUAAAAUUAACCCAAAUACCAAACACCCAACAUCAUUCAAGCAUUAAAUAAUCACACCCAUAAAUUACCCACAC
rnacentral:lncRNA from 1 species